ACGUCAGCGCCCGGGACAAGUGAGAUAGCUCUCCAAAACUUGUGCCCCGAGCCUCAGUCUGACCCACACUUUUAUUCUUAAAGACGUUCCAUAUGCAAUACACUGCACGACUUUUUCAUGCGUAUUCAACCCCUGGCCCCGCCUGUCCUCGCUUCUCAUGCUAACAGCUGCCACCGUGUUCUCUGCAUCUCGGAGCCUCUGGGGAGCAACAAGAAUUUCCAAGACGGUGUAGGAGCCCGUCUGAAGCCCCUCAUUUUCCGUUCUGCCUUCCGAUUGCCACGAGAAAGAAUCCCUUCCUCCACUGCAGUUCCGGCUUAGAACAGGACACAGUGCAGGUGCAACCACUGAACCGUCAUGCUAGCUGUUCCGAACAAGGCCUGGCAAGAACUUGGCAAGGACUUGGCAAGGACUUGGCAAAGACCUGACGUGGACCCAGCACGGGACAGCCUGAUGCGCGGCCUGCUUCUAAUCUCCGUUCUUAAGCCAAAUGAACUUUUGGGGUGACUCCCGGGGUCCUUCAUUGAAGACCCCUCAUCUGCCUCGUUACCAGUGUGACAAACAAAGAAUGAGAACCCUCCUCCCAAGGACUGAGACUGAGACCCCUGCUAUAGGGAGGAGGGGAAAUUGGUGGUCUGACCACUAAUGACAUGACCUGUUUCCCUUCAGUGAUUCAAAUGGACUUAUUCUUCAUUGUAUUCGUCUUGCUUUGGUGGUUUCUGUGGACUCAGCUGUUCCCGCGUGGCGAUUACAAUGGACUUUCGUUGUUACACUUGCUCCCCCCUCUUUCCUCUGUGGACUAUAACUGGAGCCCCGAGUCGACCAGAACUUCGGAGACUCCCCCGACACGACAGACGGAUCCCCAUCGUCCGGACCACUGAGGAUCUCGCCUGUGUUGGUAGCUAUUCCCAUACCCCUCUUCUCUCUCUCUCUCUCCUUUUAUCUCCUUUCCGAUCCCCACUAUCGCAUUUACUGUUUUGGCCCCUAAUAAAGGUGCAUUUGUUGUGAUUAA